GACGAACGCUGGCGGCGUGCCUAAUACAUGCAAGUCGAGCGAAGUUUUUCUGGUGCUUGCACCGGAAAAACUUAGCGGCGAACGGGUGAGUAACACGUAAAGAACCUGCCUCAUAGACUGGGACAACUAUUGGAAACGAUAGCUAAUACCGGAUAAUAGCAUUAACUGCAUGGUUGAUGUUUAAAAGUUGGUUUUGCUAACACUAUGAGAUGGCUUUGCGGUGCAUUAGCUAGUUGGUGGGGUAAAGGCCUACCAAGGCGACGAUGCAUAGCCGACCUGAGAGGGUGAUCGGCCACACUGGGACUGAGACACGGCCCAGACUCCUACGGGAGGCAGCAGUAGGGAAUCUUCCGCAAUGGGCGAAAGCCUGACGGAGCAACGCCGCGUGAGUGAAGAAGGAUUUCGGUUCGUAAAGCUCUGUUGUUAGGGUAGAAUGAUUGUGUAGUAACUAUACACAGUAGAGACGGUACCUAACCAGAAAGCCACGGCUAACUACGUG
rnacentral:rRNA from 1 species